ensembl:lncRNA
CGCCGCGCUGGGCUCCAUGCUGGAGCAGCACCUCAGCGCACACAGGUGGAGGUGAGGGGGGACCAGGCCUGGACUUUGGGGUCCCCGGGGUCCCAGCAUGCUGUUUAGACUGAGGGGGAGGAAGGGAAUGGGGAUUUGGGGGGUCUUGUUGUACCCCCCCCUCAUUCAAAGUGAGCAGGGUAAGGUGGGGGUGCAGGGAUGUGAGGGGAAAUGAGGGGGGUCUCGUUUCAUCCCAUUCUGAUCCAUACUGAGGAGGAUAAGGUGGGGAUGGAGGGAUGGGAGUGGGGAUUUGGGACCCCCUCCCUACCUGAAUCAGGAAGGAUUGGGGGGACAGAGAUGGGAGUGGGGAUUUGAGUGGUCCCAUUUCAUCACCUUCUCACCCAAACUGGGAAAGACAAAAUGAGGAUGCAGGACUGAGAGCAGAGAUUGGGGUAGGGGGGGGGUUCUGUUCACCCUCUCCUCACCAGAACUGGGGUGUAAUGGAGAUUUGAGGGGAUGUCCUGUUUCACCCCUUCCCCUCCAAGCUCGUGGGGACAAGGUGGAGAUGUAGGGCUGAGAGUGGGGAUUUGUGGGGUCUCCCAUCUCACCUUUCCACAUCUGAAUUGGGGAGCACCGGGUGGGACUAGAAGGAUGGGAAUGGGGAUUUGGAGGGAUCCCAUCUCACCUUUUCACACCUGAAUUGGGGAUCAUGGGGUUGGGCUGGAGGGGUCUGGAAUGGGGAUUUGGAGAGGUCCCAUCUCACCUUUCCACACCUGAAUUGGGGAGCACAGGGUGGGGCUGGAGGACUGGGAGUGUGGAUUUGUGGGGGUUCCCAUCUCACCUUUCCAUACCUGAACUGGGGAGGACAAGGUGGGGCUGGAGGGAUGGGGGCAUGGGGAUUUGGAGGGGUCUGGAAUGGGGAUUUGGAGGAGUCCUAUCUCUCCUUUCCACACAUGAAUUGGGGAGGACAAGGUGGGCUAGAGGGAUGGAAAUGGGGAUUUGAAGAGGUCCCAUCUCACCUCUCUCCCCUGAACUGGGGGAAUGUGGUUGGGAGCAGCAGUUUUGGGGGUUCCCCUUCUCACCCACCCUCUCCCUUCCCACAGGAAGAUCCCUCCAGCCGUCNGACAGGAGCCCCCCAGAGAAGGAGCCACUGCACCCUGCCCUGCAGGACCCCCCCUCACUGCUGCAGCCCCCCAGUACACCUCCCUGCCGAGCCAGGCUGCCCCACUGCUUGCACCCCCCCAGGGCCCGCCUUUCCUCUGCCAGUGACCCUGAGGAUGCUCCAGCCACCUCUGGGGAGGGGGGCACAGGAGGCCUCCCCCUGCCCCUGCCCCUGCCCAAGGGGGGCAGCCGCGUGUCCAGCGAGGAGAGCGAGGAGGAGGGGGCUGAGGAGCCCCCCCGGGCCCCCCUGCGCCCACCCCGGCCUCAGGCGGUGAGUGAGGGGACCCCAGAGCGGGGCAGGGACCCCCAAAGCCACCAGCAACCCAUCCAUGCACGACCCCAGAGUGAGAUGAGACCCCCAACUCCACCAGUGACCCAUCCAUGUGAGAUCCCAGAGCAGGACCCGGACCCCCGGCUCCACCAGCGAUCCAUGUCAGACCCCAGAGCAGGACAGGGACCCCCAAAUCCACCAGCAACCCAUCCAUGUGAGACCCUAGAGUGGGGCAGGGACCCCCAAAGCCACCUGCAACCCAUCCAUGUGAGACCCCAGAGUGAGAUGAGACCCCCAACUCCACCAGUGACCCAUCCAUGUGAGAUCCCAGAGCAGGACAGGGACCCCCAAAUCCACCAGCAACCGAUCCAUGUGGGACCCCAGAGCAGGGCAGGGACCCCAGAGUGGUGCAGGAACCCCCAGCUCCACCAGUGACCCAUCCAUGUGAGACCCCAGAGUGGGACAGGGACCCCCAACUCCACCAGCAGCCCACCCAUUUCAGACCCCAGAGCAGGGCAGGGACCCCCAGCUCCACCAGUGAUCCAUGUCAGACUCCAGAGUGGGGCAGGGACUCCCAGCUGCACCAGUGACCCAUCCAUGUGAGACCCCAGAGUGGGGUGAGACCCCAGAGCUGGACAGGGACCCCCAAAUCCACCAGUGACCCAUCCAUGUGAGANCCCCCCAAAAUAUAGGGGUUGAAUACAUGACCUCCAGAAUAGAGGGGUUGAAUGUACUUCCCCCAAAAAAUAUGGGAGUCAAAUCUUCAUUCCCCCCAAAAUAUGGGGUUUGAAUACAUGGCCUCCAGAAUAGAGGGGUUGAAUAUAUUUCCCCUGAAAAAUAUGGGGGUCAAAUCUUCAUUCCCCCCAAAAUACACAGGUUGAAUAUGUGUCCUCCAGAAUAGAGGGGUUGAAUAUAUGUCCUCCAAAAAAUAUGGGGGACAUAUCCCUCCAUGUGGGGGUCAAAGGUGUCACCCCAAAAUAUGGGUGUUAAAUGUGUGAUCCCCC